rnacentral:rRNA from 1 species
AUUGACAGGUGUAGAGAUACACUCUCCUUCGGGCAAUGGAUACAGGUGGUGCAUGGUUGUCGUCAGCUCGUGCCGUGAGGUGUUGGGUUAAGUCCCGCAACGAGCGCAACCCUCAUUGUUAGUUACUACCAUUCAGUUGAGGACUCUAAUGAGACUGCCAACGACAAGUUGGAGGAAGGUGGGGAUGACGUCAAAUCAUCAUGCCCUUUAUGACCUGGGCUACAAACGUACUACAAUGGCCAAUACAAAGAGAUGCGAAGCGGUGACGUGAAGCGAACCUCAGAAAGUUGGUCUCAGUUCAGAUUGAAGUCUGCAACUCGACUUCAUGAAGGCGGAAUCGCUAGUAAUCGCGGGUCAGCAGACCGCGGUGAAUACGUUCCCGGGUUUU